GUCAAUUAUUGAUGAAUGGAUCAUGCUAUAAAAAGCAUGCUCUAAGGUUUGUUACAAGGUACAACUACAUGCACAACUGUGCUACUUUUGCAACCUCAUUCAUAUUUUCAUCUCAUGUCAUUUUUGGUUUCAUAAGAUGGAAUAAAAGAUAUUUUAUUUUAUUUUUCUCUCCAAACCAAACUUGCAGUUCCAGUUCCAGAUAAAAAGAAAGAGAGGAAGCUGGUGAAAAUUGAGGGAUAUGACCAGGAACAAUAACGAUGAAACUACCAUCGAAGGAGAAGAAUGCUGUCUUGUUAUUUUCUCUCAAAUUCCUUGUCGGUUGGCUAAAAACACCAUAUAGGUUACUAGUUAGAAUAAUACUAUACAUCUAAAUGUUUUAUGAAUUAAGUCUAAUUAAAUUAAAUAAUAAGAUUUAGAAUAAUAUUAACAUAAUUGAUUUUGUUAUAUUAGACCAACUUAGUUAAAUUUAGUAGUUAGAAUAAGAGUCCUGCUAGGGAGCCAAUGGACUAUUCUAUACGUACAAUGGGUUAUUGAGUUACAAAAUGAACAUCUUCUAUACUAUCUAGAAUAACCAUUCGAGUACUAAGGAUAAUAAAUCUUCCCAAAAGCUUAAACUGAUUUUUGGGUGAUCGAACUCUUGACCUUUCGGAUCUAGAGCUCUAAUACCAUAUCAUGAUACCACUCAUCCCAAAAACUUCAGU